AAUACUAACAUAUUUUGCAAACUAAGAAUAUAAAAUAAAACAGAAAGAUGAUACCCCAAAUAUAGGAUAUAUGAUACCCCAUAAUCGUGUCCGCUCUGGUUACGUUGACCCGACUGUCAUAGGAACACUUAAGUAUUUUCCUUCAAUUGAGGAAGGCGCCAUUGCAAACAGGAGUUCUAGGCGAAACAAUAAUAUUGUCAUAGAGGGUAUAACAUCAUUUUUAAAAUGAAUGUUCUCUAUCGGAUAUUACCACUACUACUUUUUAAACAAGUUCAUUUACAAUAGAUGCCGAUAAGGAGUUCGGUGCAAAGGAGCGAUGAACACCCCGGUGUUGGACAGGACAGGGAUAUUUUUUGAAGCGCGGCCAAAGGCCGCCAAUACGGUAAGGAGUUUGACGUUAUUGAAUUCUGAACGCCUCGGUGUUGGACCGACCAGAGUUAUUGUUUUGAAGCGCGGACAAAUGCCGCCAGUGCGGAAAGGAGUUCGACAAUCUCCGAUAUUCGUCCAUACUAUAUUGUUACUGUUACAUUUCUUAAUUUUUUUUUUUCACAAGAAAAAAUUUAAUUCGCUG